rnacentral:lncRNA from 1 species
GGCCAAACUGCCAUCCCUUUAGCUCUCCUAGGCAAAGUACAGAUAUCCAACAGAUAUGCAUGGGAAUAGCACACAAGACAGUGUCUGUUCCACUUGGCCAGGGUUCCAUUCUCAUUGGUAGGCUGGUUGUUCAAUGCUGUGAGUAUCUACUGAAGGGCACCUGUAGAUGGAAAGCAGGACUGAAUCAGACUCCUUCUACUUGGCUUUAGGACAGCUAUCUGCAGGAAUACAAAAAGUGUACUUUGAACAGCCACUAUUGGAGACGAGAAAGCCACUUCUCAAGCUCCACCCCACCAUCACCCCAAAACUUCAUCACUAGGAAAUGUUAAAGGAUGAGAACAGAAUGUGGGAAACACCCAGGCCAUUGUGGUACAGGUAGGUGGGGCUGAGCCCCCUUUAAACCUUUCUUGUGAGUGCCCCCCACCAACCCAACGAAGAACCUUCCACAAAAUUGAAGACUGUACCUCGUGCCAUCAGAGUUGACUCACAAGGCUCUUUGAACAGCACAGCAUGAGGAAUGGGACUUACAAUUACUGGACUGGCAAAGGCUGCUGCUAAUUACCUGUUAGGUGUGACCUUGGAGUAUAGCUGGGGCCAGUGCCAGUCCCAUAAUUUCUGGAAGUAGGUUUUGGCAGAGACUUGUUCUUUCUGAAUCUCCUUGGGCUGUGCAGUCUCUGCUUGGAGAAGCAUUGGGGUUUGGUGGAAAGGACUUUCACUAUAUAUUUCCUUGAAUGGGUAGGUUUAGGGAGCUAGAGAGGAGAAAAGCAUCUAUAUUGAUGGGGAAGACCUUUCAUUAUGGAGUCAAGGCUAUUCAAACAAAAAAUUUUUA